rfam:Salmo salar isolate Sally breed double haploid chromosome ssa13, whole genome shotgun sequence.
UGCAAGCAUGACUCUAAGUUGUUUUGGAUAAAAACGUCUGCUAAAUGGCAUAUA